rnacentral:rRNA from 2 species
GCAGUCGUACGCACUGGCCCAACUGAUUGAUGGUGCUUGCACCUGAUUGACGAUGGAUCACCAGUGAGUGGCGGACGGGUGAGUAACACGUAGGUAACCUGCCCCGGAGCGGGGGAUAACAUUUGGAAACAGAUGCUAAUACCGCAUAACAACAAAAGCCGCAUGGCUUUUGUUUGAAAGAUGGCUUUGGCUAUCACUCUGGGAUGGACCUGCGGUGCAUUAGCUAGUUGGUAAGGUAACGGCUUACCAAGGCGAUGAUGCAUAGCCGAGUUGAGAGACUGAUCGGCCACAAUGGAACUGAGACACGGUCCAUACUCCUACGGGAGGCAGCAGUAGGGAAUCUUCCACAAUGGGCGCAAGCCUGAUGGAGCAACACCGCGUGAGUGAAGAAGGGUUUCGGCUCGUAAAGCUCUGUUGUUGGAGAAGAACGUGCGUGAGAGUAACUGUUCACGCAGUGACGGUAUCCAACCAGAAAGUCACGGCUAACUACGUGCCAGCAGCCGCGGUAAUACGUAGGUGGCAAGCGUUAUCCGGAUUUAUUGGGCGUAAAGCGAGCGCAGGCGGUUGCUUAGGUCUGAUGUGAAAGCCUUCGGCUUAACCGAAGAAGUGCA